rnacentral:tRNA from 1 species
UCCGGGGUAGCUCAGUGGUAGAGCAGGUGGCUGUUAACCACUUGGUCGCAGGUUCGAUCCCUGUCCCCGGAGCCA